rnacentral:rRNA from 1 species
GACGAAGCGUAAGUGACGGUACCUAUAGAAGAAGCACCGGCCAACUACGUGCCAGCAGCCGCGGUAAUACGUAGGGUGCGAGCGUUGUCCGGAAUUACUGGGCGUAAAGCGUGCGCAGGCGGACUUUUAAGCCAGAUGUGAAAGCCCCGAGCUUAACUUGGGAAUUGCGUUUGGAACUGGGAGUCUAGAGUCUGUCAGAGGGGGAUGGAAUUCCACGUGUAGCAGUGAAAUGCGUAGAGAUGUGGAGGAACACCGAUGGCGAAGGCAGUCCCCUGGGAUAAGACUGACGCUCAUGCACGAAAGCGUGGGGAGCAAACAGGAUUAGAUACCCUGGUAGUCCACGCCCUAAACGAUGUCUACUAGUUGUUGGGGUAGCAAUACCUCAGUGACGCAGCUAACGCGUGAAGUAGACCGCCUGGGGAGUACGGUCGCAAGAUUAAAACUCAAAGGAAUUGACGGGGG